rnacentral:rRNA from 1 species
GACGAACCGUGCGAACGUUAUUCGGAAUCACUGGGCUUAAAGCGCGUGUAGGCGGGACGGCACGUCGGUCGCUGAAAGCCCCCGGCUCAACCGGGGAAGUGGCGCCGAUACGACCGACCUGGAGGGACGUAGGGGGACCUGGAACUUCCGGUGGAGCGGUGAAAUGCGUUGAGAUCGGAAGGAACGCCCGUGGCGAAAGCGAGGUCCUGGACGUUUACUGACGCGUGAGACGCGAAAGCCAGGGGAGCGAACGGG